GACGAACGCUGGCGGCGUGCCUAAUACAUGCAAGUCGAGCGAAUCAAUAGGAGCUUGCUCCUGUUGGUCAGCGGCGGACGGGUGAGCGACACGUGGGCAACCUGCCUGUAAGACUGGGAUAACACCGGGAAACCGGUGCUAAUACCGGAUAAUCCUUUUCCUCUCAUGAGGAAAAGCUGAAAGACGGUUUCGGCUGUCACUUACAGAUGGGCCCGCGGCGCAUUAGCUAGUUGGUGAGGUAACGGCUCACCAAGGCGACGAUGCGUAGCCGACCUGAGAGGGUGAUCGGCCACACUGGGACUGAGACACGGCCCAGACUCCUACGGGAGGCAGCAGUAGGGAAUCUUCCACAAUGGACGAAAGUCUGAUGGAGCAACGCCGCGUGAGUGAUGAAGGCCUUCGGGUCGUAAAGCUCUGUUGUUAGGGAAGAACAAGUACUGGAGUAACUGCCGGUACCUUGACGGUACCUAACCAGAAAGCCACGGCUAACUACGUGCCAGCCGCCGCCGUAA
rnacentral:rRNA from 1 species